GAAAGCGUUCUGCUAGACCUGUACUGACACUGAGGGACGAAAGCUAGGGGAGCGAAUGGGAUUAGAUACCCCAGUAGUCCUAGCCGUAAACGAUGGAUACUAGGCGUGGCUUGUAUCGACCCGAGCCGUGCCGGACCCAACGCGUUAAGUAUCCCGCCUGGGGAGUACGCACGCAAGUGUGAAACUCAAAGGAAUUGACGGGGGCCCGCACAAGCGGUGGAGUAUGUGGUUUAAUUCGAUGCAACGCGAAGAACCUUACCAAGACUUGACAUGUCGCGAACUUUUUCUGAAAGGAAGAGGUGCCUUCGGCAGCGCGAGCACUGGUGGUGCAUGGCUGUCGUCAGCUCGUGUCGUGAGAUGUUGGAUUAAGUCCCGCAACGAGCGCAAGCCUCGUUUUUAGUUGCCAGCAUUAAGUUGGGCACUCUAGAGAGACUGCCGGUGACAAACCGGAGGAAGGUGCGGAUGACGUCAAGUCAGCAUGCCCCCUACGUCUUGGGAUACACACGUACUACAAUGCUACGGACAGAGGGCAGCUAAAGGCAGCGAUAGCAAGCAAAUCCCAUAAACAGUAGCUCAGUUCAGAUGGCAGGUUGCAACGAUCUCAUGGGUGAAGGAGGAAUCGCUAGUAAUUGCAGGUCAGCAUAAUGCAGUGAAUUCGUUCCCGGGCCUUGUACACACCGCCCGUCACACCAUGGAAGCUGGCAACGCCUGAAGUCAUUACUCCAACUCUU
rnacentral:rRNA from 1 species